rnacentral:piRNA from 1 species
UGCAAGUCAGGUGUCUUCCUCUAUUGUCC